GCUUGCUUUUUUGCUGACGACCGGCGCACGGGUGCGUAACGCGUAUACAAUCUGCCUUGUACUGGGGGAUAGCCUUUAGAAAUGAAGAUUAAUACCCCAUAGUAUGUAGAGUUCGCAUGGACCUUACAUUAAAGGUUACGGUACAAGAUGAGUAUGCGUCCUAUUAGCUAGAUGGAGUGGUAACGGCACCCCAUGGCAACGAUAGGUAGGGGCCCUGAGAGGGGGAUCCCCCACACUGGUACUGAGACACGGACCAGACUCCUACGGGAGGCAGCAGUGAGGAAUAUUGGACAAUGGAGGCAACUCUGAUCCAGCCAUGCCGCGUGCAGGAAGACUGCCCUAUGGGUUGUAAACUGCUUUUAUACGGGAAGAAACCACUCUACGUGUAGAGUCUUGACGGUACCGUAAGAAUAAGGAUCGGCUAACUCCGUGCCAGCAGCCGCGGUAAUACGGAGGAUCCAAGCGUUAUCCGGAAUCAUUGGGUUUAAAGGGUCCGUAGGUGGACUGGUCAGUCAGAGGUGAAAUCCUGCAGCUUAACUGUAGAACUGCCUUUGAUACUGCUAGUCUUGAAUCAUUAUGAAGUGGUUAGAAUAUGUAGUGUAGCGGUGAAAUGCAUAGAUAUUACAUAGAAUACCAAUUGCGAAGGCAGAUCACUAAUAAUGUAUUGACACUGAUGGACGAAAGCGUAGGUAGCGAACGGGAUUAGAUACCCCGGUAGUCUACGCCGUAACGAUGGAUACUAGCUGUUGGGUUUCGGCUCAGUGGCUAAGCGAAAGUGAUAAGUAUCCCACCUGGGGAGUACGUUCGCAAGAAUGAAACUCAAGGAAUUGACGGGGCCCGCACAAGCGGUGGAGCAUG
rnacentral:rRNA from 1 species